rnacentral:misc_RNA from 1 species
AACGCACCUUGCGCUCUUUGGUAUUCCGAAGAGCAUGCCUGUUUGAGUGUCAUGAAAAUAUCAACCUUGACUUGGGUUUUGUGCUCUAGUCUCGGCUUGGAUUUGGGUGCUUGCCGCUUUAACGAGUGGCUCACCUUAAAUGUAUUAGCUGGAUCUGUCUUUGAGACUUGGUUUGACUUGGCGUAAUAAGUAUUUCGCUAAGGACAUUCUUCGGAGUGGCCUCGUUUCUAGGACGCUUGUCCGCUUUCCAAUACAAGUUCCACCUCGUGGACAUGACUUUUUAUUAUCUGGCCUCAAAUCAGGUAGGACUACCCGCUGAACUUAA